rnacentral:rRNA from 1 species
AUGUUCGCCGUCAUACACGAGAGAUCAUUGAGUCGGCCUCUCGGGGGGGAAUGCCCACGAAUUGAUAACCUCGAUACUCUGCAGCGCAAAUUGACAGACAUACUGCAAGAAUCAGGGAAAUUCCUACUUGUGUUGGAUGAUGUUUGGUUUGAACCUGUCAAUCAGAGGGAAUGGGACCAAUUGUUAGCUCCUCUAGUUUCCCAAAAGACGGGAAGCAAAGUUUUGGUAACCUCUCGACAGAAUUCAUUUCCCACUGCUCUUUGUUGUGAAGACGUGUGUCCUCUAGAAAACAUGGAAGAUGCUCAGUUCUUGGCACUCUUCAAACACCAUGCAUUCUCGGGGCCAGAAAUCAGAAAUCCGCAGUUGCGCAAGAGGUUGGAAGAUUUUGCAGAGAAGAUUGCUAAAAGGCUUGGACAAUCUCCUUUGGCGGCAAAAGUUGUGGGUUCCCAGUUGAAAGGGGAAACAAAUAUCACGGCAUGGAAGGAUGCUCUUACCAUACUGGUUGACAAAUUAAGUGAGCCCAUGAGAGCUUUGUUGUGGAGUUAUGAUAAGUUAAAUCCACAUCUGCAGAGGUGCUUCCUAUACUGCAGCUUGUUUCCAAAAGGCCACAAGUAUGUCAUUGAUGAGCUGGUUCAUCUUUGGAUGGCUGAGGGCCUCGUAGAUUCAUGCAAUCAAAACAAGAGAGUUGAAGAUAUUGCGAGAGAUUAUUUCAAGGAGAUGAUCUCUGUUUCGUUCUUUCAACCAUUUUAUGAGAAAUGCUAUGUUAUGCACGAUCUCCUUCAUGAUCUGGCAGAAUCACUCUCCAAGGAAGACUACUUCAGGUUGGAAGAUGAUAAGGUGAUGAAAAUUCCAUCCACUGUUCGACAUCUAUCUGUUUGUGUUGGUAGUAUGAUGCAACACAAGCAAAGUAUCUGCAAGCUACAUCAUUUACGCACUAUAAUGUGCAUAGACCCGCUGAUGGAUGAUGUAAGUGACAUUUUUAAUCAGAUACUACAAAAUUUGAAGAAGUUGCGUGUACUAUAUUUGACAUCUUACAGCAGUAGUAAGUUGCCCGAAUCUGUUGGUAAGUUGAAGCACCUUCGGUAUUUGAACAUCAUCAGAACACUGAUUUCUGAAUUGCCAAGAUCACUGUGUACUCUUUACCACUUGCAGUUACUUCUUUUUAGUCACAAAGUUGAGAGUUUGCCUGAGAAGCUGUGUGAUUUAAGAAAGUUACGACAUCUUGAAUGUCAUGAUGAUACAAUAUACACGUCAAGCGAAGAAGCACUGCCUCAAAUUCCUAACAUUGGCAUGCUAACUUCACUUCAACAACUCAAGGAAUUUUCUGUACAAAAUAAAAAUGGAUAUGAGUUGCAACAGCUGGGGGACAUGUACCAGAUUCGUGGCAGUUUAUGUGUCACAAAUAUUGAGAAUGGCACUGGGAAGGAUCAAGCUUUAGAAUCAAAGUUGCAUCAGAAAAUUCAUCUUGGCAGCUUGCGACUUGUCUGGGGUUCCAAGAAUAAAACGAAUUCAGAGGAUAGUUUACAUUUUGAGAUUCUAGAAGGCCUGAUGCCACCGCCUCAACUUGAGAAUCUUGAAAUUGAAGGUUACAAAUCUUCAAAAUACCCAGGCUGGUUACUUGAUGGUUCGUAUUUUGAGAAUUUGGAAUCUUUGAGCUUUGUUAAUUGCAGUGCUUUGCAAAGACUACCAUUCAAUAUUGAACUAUAUAGGAAUUGCUCUUCACUUGUCCUCCGAGAUGUGCCAAACCUAAAGACAUUACCUUGUUUUCCACUAUGCCUUAAAACGUUACUAGUACACAAAUGCCCACUGCUUGUAUUUAUUUCCAACGAUGCGUUGGAACAUGAUGAUAAGAGAGAGAAUUUCAUGAGGACAAACCACUUGGCAUCACGACUUGGUUUAAUCUGGGAGUUAGAUUUAGGAUCAGAUAUUAGGAGACUACUCUCACAGGAACAUUCAUUUCUAAAGCAAUUGAUGAUAUUUAUGCAUGUAGAUGUGGCACAUGUUCAAAAACUUGAAAAUGCUGUAGAAAUAGAGAAAGAUGAAGUAUUGGUAAAAGAGGAUGUCAUCAUGGCAUGUAUAUUGUGUCACGAGCAGAGGAUGAGACUCAUCUAUGGAAGGAGCAUUGGGCUGCCGCUGGUUCCACCAUCAGGACUUUGUGAACUUGAACUUUCUUCAUGCAGUAUUACAGAUGGAGCUUUAGCUGUUUGCCUUGAUGGCCUGGCAUCACUCAAAAGAUUGGUCUUGGUGGAGAUUAUGACUUUAACUACACUUCCUUCAGAAGAGAUCCUCCAACAUUUGACAAAACUUGACUCUUUAUUCAUCGGAGAUAGCUGGUGUCUCAGGUCAUUAGGGGGCUUACGAGCUGCUACCUCCCUUUCAGAAGUUGGACUGGGAUCCUGCCCUUGUUUAGAGUUGGCACGCGGAGCAGAAUGCUUCCCAUUAUCCCUUGGGAGCCUCAGUAUAUACAACUGCGUCCUUGCAGCUGACUUCCUUUGUACUGACUGGCCACAAGUGAACUAUAUUAGCAUAAACAAUUGCAGAAGCCCCGCAAGCUUGUCUAUUGGUAGCCUCACCUCUGUUCGUGCACUCAUUCUGUAUCACUUGCCAGAUUUAUGUACGCUUGAAGGAUUGUCUAGCCAGGAAUUUGAUUUGGUACAUUUGGUUGAUGUUCCGAAGCUCAUCCCUGAGUGUAUCUCACAGUUUCGAGUCAACCACAUACUCCAAGUUAGCAGCUCUGCACUACUCAACAACAUGCUCUCAGCUGAAGGUUCCACGGUUCCACCAUCUCUCUCUUGA